CAGCUACUGUAUCCCAGAACCUUCUUGCCUUCCCAGUCCCAAGGCAGGUGCUGUGGGAAGAGUGUGUAUAAGGUCUGAUGGGGACAGACCUGGGGUGAAUCUCAGUGGCACUUCUCAACAGCUAUAGAUCCCUAAGUAAGUUAUCUAAUCAUCAUCCCCACAGUGUUCUCAGAUGAAAAUGGGGGGUAAUACCCCAUCUCAUAGGAGUUUAAAAGGAUUAAAUAGGGAAUGUAGCUAUCAUCUUGUGCCUGGAAUUCUGCAAAGCAUAUGAAGGUGCCCUUGGAACUUCCUUCCCAUUUUUCAUAUUUGCUCUGCCACCUCUACACCCAGCCCCGCUUUCUGCAACCAAUUGUAUUAUAACCCCCUCCCAAACACUUAGUGCAUCCUCCCACUCAUGUAAUUUGUUUACCUUGUUUUCUAUUUAUUUCUUUUGAGAUGGGGUCUCUGUCAGCCAGGCUGGAGUGCUGUUGCAGUGAGCCAAGAUAACGCCACUGCAUUCCAGCCUGGAUGGCAGAGCAAGACUCCAUCUCCAA
ensembl:lncRNA novel transcript